AUCCAGCUGAUGAGUUUUAAAUAGGACGAAACACAUUUCAUGGAU
rnacentral:hammerhead_ribozyme from 1 species